CUGUAAGACUGGGAUAACUCCGUGGAAACCGGAGCUAAUACCGGAUAGUUCCUUGAACCGCAUGGUUCAAGGAUGAAAGACGGUUUCGGCUGUCACUUACAGAUGGACCCGCGGCGCAUUAGCUAGUUGGUGAGGUAACGGCUCACCAAGGCGACGAUGCGUAGCCGACCUGAGAGGGUGAUCGGCCACACUGGAACUGAAACACGGCCCAGACUCCUACGGGAGGCAGCAGUAGGGAUUCUUCCGCAAUGGACGAAAGUCUGACGGAUCAU
rnacentral:rRNA from 1 species